AAGACUAUAGACCUGCGGAGUACCUGCGGAGGGAUCAUUACCGAGUUUACAACUCCCAAACCCAAUGUGAACGUUACCAAACUGUUGCCUCGGCGGGAUCUCUGCCCCGGGUGCGUCGCAGCCCCGGACCAAGGCGCCCGCCGGAGGACCAACCAAAACUCUUUUGUAUACCCCCUCGCGGGUUUUUUAUAUCUGAGCCAUCUCGGCGCCUCUUGUAGGCGUUUCGAAAAUGAAUCAAAA
rnacentral:misc_RNA from 1 species